rnacentral:rRNA from 1 species
UCGAGGAUCUUUGGCAAUGAGCGCAAGCUUGACCAAGCGACGCCGCGUGGAUGAUGAAGGCCUUCGGGUUGUAAAAUCCUGUCGAGGGGGACGAAGCCGCAAGGUUGACCGAUCCCUGGAGGAAGGGCGGGCUAAGUUCGUGCCAGCAGCCGCGGUAAGACGAACUGCCCAAACGUUGUUCGGAAUCACUGGGCUUAAAGGGCGCGUAGGCGGCGAUACAAGUCAGGGGUGAAAUCCGGCAGCUCAACUGUCGAAGUGCCUUUGAUACUGUAUCGCUCGAGGGAGGUAGGGGUCUGUGGAACUUCUGGUGGAGCGGUGAAAUGCGUUGAUAUCAGAAGGAACGCCGGUGGCGAAAGCGACGGACUGGACCUUUUCUGACGCUGAGGCGCGAAAGCUAGGGGAGCAAACGG